rnacentral:rRNA from 1 species
AGCGGCGGACGGGUGAGUAACGCGUGGGUAACCUGCCUCAGUACAGGGGGAUAACAGUUGGAAACGGCUGCUAAUACCGCAUAAGCGCACAGUACCGCAUGGUACGGUGUGAAAAGCUCCGGUGGUAUGAGAUGGACCCGCGUCUGAUUAGGUAGUUGGUGGGGUAACGGCCUACCAAGCCGACGAUCAGUAGCCGACCUGAGAGGGUGACCGGCCACAUUGGGACUGAGACACGGCCCAA